UACGUAGGGGGCAAGCGUUGUCCGGAUUUACUGGGCGUAAAGAGCGCGUAGGCGGAACGUUAAGCGGGGCCGGAAAGCCCCCGGCUCAACCGGGGAAGGGGCCGCGAACUGGCGUUCUUGAGGGGGAGAGGGGAGAGCGGAAUUCCUGGUGUAGCGGUGAAAUGCGUAGAGAUCAGGAGGAACACCAAUGGCGAAGGCAGCUCUCUGGCUUCACCCUGACGCUGAGACGCGAAAGCGUGGGUAGCAAACAGG
rnacentral:rRNA from 1 species